AUUGAACGCUGGCGGCAUGCUUUACACAUGCAAGUCGAACGGCAGCGCGGGCUUCGGCCUGGCGGCGAGUGGCGAACGGGUGAGUAAUACAUCGGAACGUGCCCAGUAGUGGGGGAUAGCUCGGCGAAAGCCGGAUUAAUACCGCAUACGACCUGAGGGUGAAAGCGGGGGAUCUUCGGACCUCGCGCUAUUGGAGCGGCCGAUGGCAGAUUAGCUAGUUGGUGGGGUAAAGGCCUACCAAGGCGACGAUCUGUAGCUGGUCUGAGAGGACGACCAGCCACACUGGGACUGAGACACGGCCCAGACUCCUACGGGAGGCAGCAGUGGGGAAUUUUGAACAAUGGGCGAAAGCCUGAUCCAGCAAUGCCGCGUGUGUGAUGAAGGCCUUCGGGUUGUAAAGCACUUUUGGCGGGAACGAAAAGGACUGUGCCAAUACCACGGUUCGAUGACGGUACCCGCAGAAUAAGCACCGGCUAACUACGUG
rnacentral:rRNA from 1 species